UACGAAGGGGGCUAGCGUUGCUCGGAAUCAUUGGGCGUAAAGAGCGUGUAGGCGGCUAUACAGGUCCGCUGUGAAAACUCGAGGCUCAACCUCGAGACGUCGGUGGAAACCGUAUGGCUAGAGUCCGGAAGAGGAGAGUGGAAUUCCUGGUGUAGCGGUGAAAUGCGCAGAUAUCAGGAAGAACACCCGUGGCGAAGGCGGCAUCCUGGACCAACACUGACGCUGAUGAGCGAAAGCCAGGGGAGCAAACGGG
rnacentral:rRNA from 1 species